GAUGAAGAACGUAGCGAAAUGCGAUAAGUAAUGUGAAUUGCAGAAUUCAGUGAAUCAUCGAAUCUUUGAACGCACCUUGCACUCCUUGGUAUUCCGAGGAGUACGCCUGUUCGAGUGUUAUGAAGCUCUCAAAACGCAAUUGGCUUAAAACCUGAUUGUUGUUUUGGAUUUGAACUUUGCCGUGUUAUAACGGCUGGUUUUAAAAGUAUUAGCUGGUACUAGAACGAAUUGGUUCUACUCAACGCGAUAAUUAUCUGAUCGUUGAGGACAUUCCUUUCACGAGGAAUGGCCAUAGUAAAUUCAAUGGACUGCUUCUAAUCUGGCUUUAAUUCUUUAUUGGAUUAACCACUUUUCAAAUCUGACCUCGAAUCAGGUGGGACUACCCGCUGAACUUAAGCAUAUCAAUAAGCGGAGGA
rnacentral:misc_RNA from 1 species